AUGAACGCUGGCGGCGUGCCUAAUACAUGCAAGUCGAGCGAACAGACGAGGAGCUUGCUCCUCUGACGUUAGCGGCGGCCGGGUGAGUAACACGUGGAUAACCUACCUAUAAGACUGGGAUAACUUCGGGAAACCGGAGCUAAUACCGGAUAAUAUAUUGAACCGCAUGGUUCAAUAGUGAAAGACGGUUUUGCUGUCACUUAUAGAUGGAUCCGCGCCGCAUUAGCUAGUUGGUAAGGUAACGGCUUACCAAGGCAACGAUGCGUAGCCGACCUGAGAGGGUGAUCGGCCACACUGGAACUGAGACACGGUCCAGACUCCUGAGAGAGGCAGCAGUAGGGAAUCUUCCGCAAUGGGCGAAAGCCUGACGGAGCAACGCCGCGUGAGUGAUGAAGGUCUUCGGAUCGUAAAACUCUGUUAUUAGGGAAGAACAAAUGUGUAAGUAACUAUGCACGUCUUGACGGUACCUAAUCAGAAAGCCACGGCUAACUACGUG
rnacentral:rRNA from 1 species